rnacentral:tRNA from 1 species
GCGGGAUUAGUACAAUGGCAGUAUGUAUGCUUCCCAAGCAUGAGACGCGGGUUCGAUUCCCGUAUCCCGCUCCA